rnacentral:lncRNA from 1 species
GGCAUGGAGAUGGAGGAAAGAAAGGGAGAAGAGGCAUUGAGAAGUUGCAGUAAGGCAGAUCUGGCAUGAGAAAUCUCAUGCAACCUUGUAGCACAUGCCCACCUUUUCCCUUCUUAUUUUAUCACACAAAAAAAAUUCCCAAUGCCCAUACCUUAUCAGAUAGGAUCUUCUUCCUUAUUUGAAUCAAAUUCAAAUGAAGAAAAAGAGUCCAAAAAGGAGAGAGACUCA